GUGACUUUAUGUGACGGUUCAGUGCAGCAGACAGAGGAAGAGAGGAAACAGCAUCUAUUAUCUCCAUCUCUACGUUUUCUGAUCAAUAAAGCCUCCAGACUCCAAUCAGCAGAUUUAGCAGGAAUAAAGCCUGGUGUUCUGAUCGGGUUCUGGAGGUUGGAGUCGCUCUGGGCUCACCUGAGCGUUUGACGGAUCGAGAGUUUUAUUACGUUCUGAACCAGGAAAUGUGUGUCAGGAACCUGGAGACGUCUGAACGGCGGUGAUGUGAUCUGACAGCCAGUCUUCUGCAUGAGGGACGACUCCCAGGCCGCAGCCGCGUCUCCGCCGUCCCGCUCUUCGGGAUGCCCCAUUUGACCUUUGAACCCGGCUUCUGGUACCUGCAGCCGUCCGUCAAACAGAACCUGACAGGGCCGUUCUGAAGUUCUGCUUCUGGACUUCCCUCCUGUCCUGUUUGGACCGGGUCGGACCGAACGGCGCGUCCUCGUCCUCCGUGUUGGUGAUACGAUUGCAGGCAGAGCCGCCGCAUGGAGGGACGGCAGACUGCAUCAGCGGGAGUCGCCGGCGGCGGCUGGGGUCAGCUGGAGUUUACGGCUAUUAAUACUCCGCUGUCGCACUGGAAACCCCCUGAACACACGCUGGAUGCUCAGCGCCACAAACACACCGCCAGUCCCUGAUGGAGGCGAGGCGGCGGCACAAACACACCGCCAUGUUUCCAAACAUGUCUGUCACAGAUCCAAACAUUUACUGGAUCCAACCCGAGUUCCCCCCAGCCAGAACCCCCUGCUGGGUCGAGGAUUCUCACACAGUGACCCACAUCAGCACCGCUGCUCACUUCACAGCUGCUGCCUGUUCAGACUUACAGGUUGAAUAAUUGAAGGUGUUUUCAAACAUCAGGAAUGUGUUAAGGAAAAAUGUGGGAGGGAAUAAAGGGAAGUGGAAUAAAGUUUCAUUCUGGUGUGAGAUUUCCAGUCUGGACGUUUGGAUGGUCAUCAGACACGCAGCGUCGUUUAGCCUCUCAGAUAAUCAGACCUUCUGCCGCUCAGCAUCAACACAACGCAGCAGCAAACACAAACACACCUUUGGAAGUGUCAGAUUUUCAUCCAGAGAUGGAUUCCUUAAAGUCUCAUAUGAAAUGAACUUUUUUUAGCUUUU